GGUGGUAUAGCUCAGUUGUAGAGUGUGUGCUUAGUAUGUAUCAGGCCCUAGGUUCAAUUCCUAGCGUCA
rnacentral:tRNA from 1 species